CAAAUUGGCUUAUGGGCAUCAUUGAUUCUGGGUCGAGGGAGACCUCUAAAUCGCCUAGUCGAAAUAUUCCAUAGCACAAAAGCGGAGGCAUAGCAAGGCGAGAUAUCGAAACAGAUAAUACCAUUGCAAGAGGCAAUAAUCUUCGGAUAUCGAAUCAAAGAACCCAAAAACGGUAUCCUCAUCUCGCGCGGAGUUGAGGUUCGAUUAUCGAUCAAAGACAGAGAAAA
rnacentral:misc_RNA from 1 species